GCACUGGAUUUUUUGAGGUGGAUCUUGAGAGUGUGGGGCUCUCCUGGCUGGAAGAGCACUGGGCUCUAGGAACUAGGAGCAGCAGUAUGGGAUGCAGAUGUGGAGCUUGGUCUCUUCCUUAGAGUAUAUGCUUGGAGCUAGUGAGGCACUUAACACUUCACUGCCUUGGAUUCCAGAGUGGUGCCUGGUUCUGUGGAGAAACUGCAGCAGUGUGCCUAGCCCAGAAUCAAGUCUGUCAUGUCCUUUUUGCAUUCUGCCAGCUGAGGUGGGCAGGUAGGUAGGCAGUGAGGACUGACUAGUCUUUGCAGAUAUGAGGUGCCAUACAUGGUUAUGUACAUGUGGUCAUGAUACAUGGCCUUGCUUCUUUAGAGGGCACUCCUGGAACAGACUCGACCAUCUUUCUCUUCUUUGUGUCUGUUUCCCCUUUGCCAGAUGCUGGCUGCUCGCAGCUGGAAGGCCAGGGACUGACUGGCUUCUGAGGUAAAGCCUGGGAAGCCUUUUGCACUGAAAAGCUCCCACAGCACAGCCACACAUGGAUCCCAACCCAGUUCUGCCAGUUUUGGCUUUGGUCAGGCAAUGGAGAGUCAAUCCAGCACAGCCAGGGAUACAGACACAUUUUCUCAACAAAAAGCAAAAAACCCCAAUCAAACCAACCAAACCAAACCAAACCCUAGAGAAGCAGCUGCCUUGAUGGCCAGUAGCCAGUGUUGCAUCACAUCAUCCCUAUCUUGGACACAAGUCCCUCAGAUGUGUUCCAGUUCCCCGUGAUGCUAGAGGUUGCCUAUCCUAACCCAUUUUCGUUUUCAGUGAUGACCAGCUUUGGGUAACUACCUUAAAUCUGAAGUAUCUCAUGAAGUCUCUUUUUUUUUUUUUGGAGCUGGGGACCGAACCCAGGGCCUUGCACUUCCUAGGUAAGCGCUCUACCACUGAGCUAAAUCCCCAGCCCCAUGAAGUGGUUUCUGUAUCAGUGCCCCAUAGCAACUUGGUCUCAUGGACCACAAGGAGGCACAGCCUGCAGUGUUGACACUAGGCAGAAACCUCGGGGUUGGAGCAAGUUAACUAGGACAGCAAGCCGUGGGCUUCAUGUACAGAGGUCCAUUUCCAUCCGCUGUUGAUGAGCCUGCCCCCCUGCCGUACAACAGCUCCUACCCUGCUGUGCACAACUGAAGGAGUGGAGAUGGGGAGAGGAGAGGCGAGGUAUUCAGAAGGGAGGAGAGAACAAUAAAAGCACAGUAAGUACCUGAAAAAAACUGCAACAUUAACCAUCAACUUUAAAGACUGGAUUUAUUUGGAGAAAAACAAAAAACCCUCAACCCAAAGGAUGGGAUUUUACAUCUCAAGACAUCUCCCAAGUAAUGUCUACAGAUUACAAAUCAUUUUCAUAGAAGAUAUUUUUGUACAAAUUUUACAUGUAUUCAGGAGCGGGACAUAAGUCAACCCCUGUUCUUAUUUUAACAGAGGAAAGUAGGAGAGUGGGACAAAACAGCUGUCUUUUGGAUGCAACUAUCUGGAAGGGAAA
rnacentral:sRNA from 1 species